rnacentral:rRNA from 5 species
UUGACCUCGGAUCAGGUAGGGAUACCCGCUGAACUUAAGCAUAUCAAUAAGCGGAAGA